rnacentral:rRNA from 1 species
UACGAAGGGGGCUAGCGUUGCUCGGAAUCACUGGGCGUAAAGGGCGCGUAGGCGGAUUGCUAAGUCAGGGGUGAAAUCCUGGAGCUCAACUCCAGAACUGCCUUUGAUACUGGCGAUCUUGAGUCCGGGAGAGGUGAGUGGAACUGCGAGUGUAGAGGUGAAAUUCGUAGAUAUUCGCAAGAACACCAGUGGCGAAGGCGGCUCACUGGCCCGGUACUGACGCUGAGGUGCGAAAGCGUGGGGAGCAAACAGG